GAUAAGGAUGAAUAAAUAAAAAUAAAUUGCAAUUUAUCAUACGUGAAAACCCUACGUGUUUAUUAUGUGUGUGGUUCAAUUAUAUUGUUCAACAGCAGUUGAAGUAUAUGCGCUUUCCGCCGCUCAAAUUAUUGUGCAAUGAUUAAUUUUGCUGUACUCAUCACUGACAUCAUUUAAAGAUUUUUGGCCAAAGGAAACAUCUAUUCCAAGCUGGCACACCCCAGGAAACCCGAUACCUUGCGAGUCGUGUAAUACCAUAGGGGACUGUGGUGUGCAUUUCGGCACGAACAUAAAUAGGAGGCUUCCAUAUGCAAACAGCGCUGUCAUCUGUGUAUCCAGAACCAGAGUACGAUUCUGAUAUGCCAAAUAUUCCAUGUGCAACAGAAAAAGGAACAGAUAAACAUUGUAUAACAAUAAGGAACCAUUUCUUUGAUACCAGUGAUAGAAUUCGUGUCAAAGGGAAACGGAAAAGCGGUCUCAUUAGUGCCCCGGAGUGUCCAGCUAAGCGACAGAAAGGUGUAAGACAGUAUCAUUCAUCAGACGAAUCCAAGAUUCUUGCGCAUGUUCGUAAAGGCUUAUCAGACAUUUGAAGGGCAUAGACAACACAACAUUGAAUACUAAAACAUGGAUAUAACAUGUACAUGUAAUGCUAUGAUUUAAAAAGUAAGAAUAACAUAUUGCAAGAACAAAGUUUUUAUAAUGAUUACCAUGGAAAACAUUGAUCAUAAAGAAUUACACAGUAAUUACUGUAACAAAUGAUAAGUAUAAACAAGAAAGGUGUUUUCUUCUUUCCAAAACAUUAUUUAUAAACAAUAAAACUGGCAUUUAUGUAAAAAUGCUAAUAAUAGUAUAAACCAGAAUUGUGUGUUGUGUUUCCUUACA